rnacentral:rRNA from 1 species
CUAACGCAUUAAAUGAUCCGCCUGAGUAGUAUGCUCGCAAGAGUGAAACUUAAAGGAAUUGACGGGGACCCGCACAAGCGGUGGAGCAUGUGGUUUAAUUUGAAGAUACGCGGAGAACCUUACCCACUCUUGACAUCCUUCGCAAUGCUAUAGAGAUAUAGCGGAGGUUAACGGAGUGACAGAUGGUGCAUGGUUGUCGUCAGCUCGUGUCGUGAGAUGUUUGGUCAAGUCCUGCAACGAGCGCAACCCCUAUCUUUAGUUACUAACGAGUCAUGUCGAGGACUCUAGAGAUAA